GACGAACGCUAGCUACAGGCUUAACACAUGCAAGUCGAGGGGCAGCGCAGUGUAGCAAUACAUGGGCGGCGACCGGCGCACGGGUGCGUAACGCGUAUCCAACCUUCCCGUUACUCAGGGAUAGCCUUCCGAAAGGGAGAUUAAUACCUGAUGGUGUUUGAAUUCCGCAUGUUAUUCAAACUAAAGAUUUAUCGGUAACGGAUGGGGAUGCGUGACAUUAGAUAGUAGGCGGGGUAACGGCCCACCUAGUCUACGAUGUCUAGGGGUUCUGAGAGGAAGGUCCCCCACACUGGAACUGAGACACGGUCCAGACUCCUACGGGAGGCAGCAGUGAGGAAUAUUGGUCAAUGGUCUGACGACUGAACCAGCCAUGCCGCGUGAAGGUCACGGCCCUAUGGGUCUUAAACUUCUUUUGUAAGGGAGCAAUAAGGGUCACGUGUGGUCCGAUGAGAGUACCUUACGAAUAAGCAUCGGCUAACUCCGUG
rnacentral:rRNA from 1 species